rnacentral:rRNA from 1 species
UACGGAGGAGGCAAGCGUUAUCCGGAAUUAUUGGGCGUAAAGCGUCCGCAGGUGGCCCAUCAAGUCUGCAUUCAAAGCGUGGGGCUUAACUCCAUAACGGGUGUGGAAACUGGUGAGCUAGAGUUCGGUAGGGGUCAGGGGAAUUCUCAGUGUAGCGGUGAAAUGCGUAGAUAUUGAGAAGAACACCGGCGGCGAAAGCGCCUGACUGGGCCUGAACUGACACUGAGGGACGAAAGCUAGGGGAGCGAAAGGG